UGGGGAAUAUUGGACAAUGGGGGGAACCCUGAUCCAGCCAUGCCGCGUGUGUGAAGAAGGCCUUAUGGUUGUAAAGCACUUUAAGCAGUGAAGAAUACAUCAUGGCUAAUAUCCGUGAUGAAUGACAUUAGCUGCAGAAUAAGCACCGGCUAACUCUGUGCCAGCAGCCGCGGUAAUACAGAGGGUGCGAGCGUUAAUCGGAAUUACUGGGCGUAAAACGAGCGUAGGUGGUUUAUUAAGUCAGAUGUGAAAUCCCUGGGCUUAACCUAGGAACUGCAUCUGAUACUGACAAACUAGAGUAGGUGAGAGGAAAGUAGAAUUCCAGGUGUAGCGGUGAAAUGCGUAGAGAUCUGGAGGAAUACCGAUGGCGAAGGCAGCUUUCUGGCAUCAUACUGACACUGAGGUUCGAAAGCGUGGGUAGCAAACAGGAUUAGAUACCCUGGUAGUCCACGCCGUAAACGAUGUCUACCAGUCGUUGGGUCUUUUAAAGACUUAGUGACGCAGUUAACGCGAUAAGUAGACCGCCUGGGGAGUACGGCCGCAAGGUUA
rnacentral:rRNA from 1 species